UUUUAGCUCAGCUGGUAGAGCAGCGGACUCUUAAUCCGAAGGUCGUGGGUUCGAUCCCCUCAAGG
rnacentral:tRNA from 1 species